rnacentral:rRNA from 1 species
GACGAACGCUGGCGGCGUGCUUAACACAUGCAAGUCGAACGGAAAGGCCCUGCUUUUGUGGGGUGCUCGAGUGGCGAACGGGUGAGUAACACGUGAGUAACCUGCCCUUGACUUUGGGAUAACUUCAGGAAACUGGGGCUAAUACCGGAUAGGAGCUCCUGCUGCAUGGUGGGGGUUGGAAAGUUUCGGCGGUUGGGGAUGGGCUCGCGGCUUAUCAGCUUGUUGGUGGGGUAGUGGCUUACCAAGGCUUUGACGGGUAGCCGGCCUGAGAGGGUGACCGGCCACAUUGGGACUGAGAUACGGCCCAGACUCCUACGGGAGUCAGCAGUGGGGAAUAUUGCACAAUGGGCGGAAGCCUGAUGCAGCAACGCCGCGUGCGGGAUGACGGCCUUCGGGUUGUAAACCGCUUUCGCCUGUGACGAAGCGUGAGUGACGGUAAUGGGUAAAGAAGCACCGGCUAACUACGUG